UACUGAAUGGCAAAGAAACGCUCCCUGAGAACUGCUGUAAGAAGAGCUUCCAUUCCCUUAUCCUCGUUGAUGCCAGGUCUGGAGAGAACAGAUUCCUGUUUUCACUCACAGCAGGUGUCCCCAGUGGAAUCAAAUGAACUUGCCGCCAUUACUCACUCGGACACUUCAUAAAUGGAACAAUUAAAACCCAAAUAGCAUACAGCAUGCUUCUAUUUUGUUCACAAACUUUAGAAAACCCUGCUUGAAAACUUACAGUUCUGUUAAUAUAUCUGGAGAAUACAUAAGACUGAACGUCAUGUGGCUGCUCAAACAACGAUUUUAUUUGCCUUUGUUGUGUUUGUUUGUUUUGUGAGACAGAGUCUCACUCUGUCGGCCAGGCUGGAGCACAGCGGUGGGAUCUCGGCUCACUGCAACCUCCGCCUCCUGGCGGGAAUCAAGUGAUUCCCCUGCCUCAGGCUCACGGGUAGCUGGAACUACAGGCACCUGCCACCACACCCAGCUAAUUUUUGUAUUUUUAAUAGAGACAGCGUUUCUCCAUGUUGGCCAGGACGGUCUUGAACUCCUGACCUCAGGUGAUCCACCCACCUCAGCCUCCCAAAGUGCUGGGAUUACAGCCCUGAGCCACCGUGCCUGGCCUGUCUUCAUUGCCUUUGAAAAGCCCCAGAUCCAGCCUUCUAGCACAAGAAGUAGUUAAAAAUUACUUGGAUACUCCACGGUUGGCAGAGUUAUGCAGACGGUCUCACCUGCGGGCUGCACGCAGCCGCUCCGUGGCGCACACAUGUUCUGCCGAAGUCCACGUUUCCGUGCAGCCCUCACCACCUGGACGCCAGGGCGGCGCGGGGGAGCCCUCACCUCACGCCUCACCCGGUGUGGACGUGGCACCUGCUCGCUGCCCCUCCCCUCUGAGCAGCUCCGUCUGCACACUGCGAACUGCAUCGGUGCGGUUGUGAUGAAACCAUUUCGCAUUUACUGAGUGUGCACGCACUCAAUUACAACACGAACAUGUGAAACCAGAACAACGCACAGGAGGAAGAUACGGUGUUUCGUCCUGUUGCCCAGGCUGGUCUUCUAGGCUCAGCCAUCUGCCCAGCUCAGCCUCCCCAAGUGCUGGGAUUAUGGGAGUGAGCCACCUCGCCCAGCCUAAAAUCCAUUUUAAAAAAACAUGAGAAAUGAUUUGCAUUUGGGACUGAAGAAGAAUGAAAGGCACCUGUAGUUUUGACGCCAAGAAAGCCUAGUUAUACCUUUAUUUUAUUAACCUACUAUUCACCAGGUUUCUGAGUGUGGUUUCUCAGUGUGACCCUAACCCGUCUUAGGAGAGGCGGUGCUAGGAACUGCUAUAGGGGGGCACAGCAGGUGGUCCCUAAAGUUGUGAUGCUCAAGAGAUUCACAGAAUAUCUGAAGAAAAAAGACACGUUUGUUUUUGCAUUUUCUGUGGUUUUGCUGUUGUUGUUCAUCACAAAGUUUGCAGGUUUGCUACAAUUGUGAACAUUCAGAACAAAACACAGAAUAAGAUAAAAAUCAUCAGCUAUGCAAUUGUUUGUUUUUUAAAUACACAUUCUCAAGAUUUUGGUGUUGCUUUUUCUCAGGAUUUUUCUCUGGGAACAUGUUUAUCUUUUCCUGUAGCUGGAAUGACACUCAAUUUUUAGUUUGGGUUUCUUCUUUUAUUCAUCAUUAUCCUGUGGCAAGUGUUUCCCCAGGGUAUGAAAUAUUAUUAAAAGUACAGACUUUAAGGGCUGUUUUGCUGUUUAUCACGUGUAUCAUAAUGUAUUUAAUGCUCCCCAUCUUUUUUUGAAUAUUUAAGUAGCUUUCUGGGUUGAAAUCUUGUAAAUUACACUGCAAUAAAUGUGUUUAUCAUUGGUGCACAU
rnacentral:lncRNA from 10 species